rnacentral:lncRNA from 1 species
GUACUAUUAUAUCACCGUCUUACAGAUGAGGAAACUGAGACCCAGAGAGGCACAGGGACCCGCCGCAGGUCACACAUCCAGUAAGGGGCAAAUAUGGCGUUUGAACCCUACAGAGUUCCCCAGUUAACCACCACAGGGCUUCUGGGAGUGGUGGAAGUAUGUGGGAUUUGGGGUUUUCUCGUGCAGAGCUGCCCGGCCCGAGAAGGUGUUUAACGUUUUACAGUCGUCUUGAUUGCCCAGUGAUAGUGAGAGGCCCUGCUAUCUAGGAAAGGAUCCAUUUCCCCAGAUCAAUGUUCAUUACCCGCCUAACUGCCCUUUUUCCCCAGGAGGCCCAGGGCAGGUCGGCUCCCCAGCCACCCACCAGGCAGGCCUGGCACAUGCAGCACCCCACCCCACCCUCACCCCCUCUCCGUUUGCAGCAGUUUGCAAGAUGAGUGUGUUGUACCUAUCAGUUUAUUUAUUUGUUUAUUUACUUUUUGAGAUAGAGUUUCACCCAGGCUGGAGUGCAGUGGCGCGAUCUCCGCUCACUGCAACCUCUGCCUCCCGGAUUCAAGCAGUUUUCCUGCCUCAGCCUCCCGAAUAGCUGGGAUUAUCGGCAGGCGCCACCACGCCCAGCUAAUUUUUUUGUUUUUUGUUUGUUUGUUUGUUUGUUU